UACGGGGGGGGCAAGCGUUGUUCGGAAUUACUGGGCGUAAAGGGCCAGUAGGCGGCCAACUAAGUCGGAUGUGAAAUCCCCAGGCUCAACUUGGGAACUGCAUCCGAUACUGGAUGGCUUGAAUUCGGGAGAGGGAUGCAGAAUUCCAGGUGUAGCGGUGAAAUGCGUAGAUAUGUGGAGGAACACCGAUGGCGAAGGCAGCCCCCUGGGUCAAGACUGA
rnacentral:rRNA from 1 species